rnacentral:rRNA from 1 species
AUGCAAGUCGAGCGGAUGACGGGAGCUUGCUCCUUGAUUCAGCGGCGGACGGGUGAGUAAUGCCUAGGAAUCUGCCUGGUAGUGGGGGACAACGUUUCGAAAGGAACGCUAAUACCGCAUACGUCCUACGGGAGAAAGCAGGGGACCUUCGGGCCUUGCGCUAUCAGAUGAGCCUAGGUCGGAUUAGCUAGUUGGUGGGGUAAUGGCUCACCAAGGCGACGAUCCGUAACUGGUCUGAGAGGAUGAUCAGUCACACUGGAACUGAGACACGGUCCAGACUCCUACGGGAGGCAGCAGUGGGGAAUAUUGCACAAUGGGCGCAAGCCUGAUGCAGCCAUGCCGCGUGUAUGAAGAAGGCCUUCGGGUUGUAAAGUACUUUCAGCGGGGAGGAAGGCGAUAAGGUUAAUAACCUUGUCGAUUGACG